UUCUUGGCUGAUGGUUCAUUGAUAUUAAGUGAAAUAUGGUAUUGCCCACGUACAUAUGUAAUCAAGAAACAUGCUUGUCUUCUCAUGCGUUGCCCCAGAACAUUAGUUAGGUUACUGUCUGAGAAUACUUGAUGCCCAAAAUAUAUGGAUAAUGCUAUGCUAUGUGUAUUGUGUCCAUGUGCCAGUUGAAUCAUCUCAUAUUGCUUUGAAGUUGCUACCUAAGUAUCGAGAGAUUGAUUCCCUUUCUUCCAGCUGUUCUUGUUCUUAGCAGACAAAUGUGGGAGAAUGUACCAACUAAAUAUAUUGGUUCUUGGGUUUAUUAUUAGAGACUUUUAUCUGCAUAUAUACAUAGGACCGAGAAUGCCGAGGUAUGCGACACCAAAUUUAGUUUAGCUUGUCUACACUUUUGUUAAAUUUUUCUUGGAACUUAGGAACCUGAGCUUUUGGUUGUCUCUUGUUUCCUGAUAGUACAAGCAUGUUACACAAGGCUUCUUGAUAAAUGUCAAACUUGAAGGCUUAUAUUGGGUAUGCUACUAAUUAUUGUUGGCAUGGGCACGGCUGGUGGAGCGGCUGGCGUCCGGGUGGACAACGGUGGCUGCCCAGUGACCAUCAUCAGGUUGUGCUGCAGGUACUACCGUUUCUUCAUUCUAUCUGAAGAAAACAACCACAACCUCCUUUGCUUGAUUCCCAAUUUUGUGUAUCUAUAGCUUUGCUUGUUCUUACCUAGCCUUUUAUACCCACCACAAAUAUUUCUUGUUAUGAUUAUUUGUUUUGCGUUCUUGAUAAUUUCAUUUGUGUUCUUAAUUGGGACGAGCUAGGAGGAACAAACCUAUUUAGCUUCCGGGAUCUCCGUUUCUAAUGACUUGAUAUGGCCUUGGCGACGGUCCUGCUAGAGAGUUCAUCGAUGGCAGCAACAAGCAGUCCCAAGGCAUAGGUAAGCUCCUUUGUUUAAUAUAUUUUAGCUCCAUCCAGCAGAUUGGGCAACCGCCUUCUUCUCUUCAAUUAAUUAUAUCCAUCUGUUUUGGUGUAGGUUUCACUAGAUUUAGUUUUCAGUCUUGUCUACAUUGAGUUGUUUGUUGUUUGAUUAUUUUAUCAAGUAGAACAUGGCUUCUCAUGAACCUCCCGGCAUUUGCCUAAACAUUGGUUAGUAUACUAUACAUAUCAACUACAGUUAUGGAGAUCUGAACUAGAAAUCGCCCUAUGAUGUAUUAACUCUUAAAUAUCGUGCACAAUCAUGUACAUUAAGUGUUUGAAUAAGAAGUAGGAUGUUCUUGCUUAA